UUGAAAAAUUUGUUAUAAUAUUGAAACUGAAAAAGAAUAUAUUAUAAAUUAAAAAUGUAAAAAACUGUAUAAAAAAAAAGCAAGAAAUAUUUUAGCUGAAAUUAAUAGAAAAUUAAUCGAAAAGUGAACUAGUAUACUUUUAUAAACUUUAACAGGAAUUAAAUUUCUUUUAAAAAAAAUAGGGAUUAAAUUUAAUAUUUUAAAAAAUAAUUAGUGUAAACAAAUUCUUUUAAUUUAACAGUAAACGUCACAUCUCAACUCCAUAACCAUAAUAUUAAAAACAUGAACAGUAAAUCCGAGGUGAUACACACCUGCCUAAAUUUAUAAGAUAUGACAUUCAUAUCAAAGUCAUUCCAAUUGAUGGCUAUCAGAGCCAUAUCUAUCCUAGUAGGAAUAUGAAUUGACAGCAGAACUAACAGAUAUUUAACAGAAAGAAAAAUAAAAUAUACUAUUGCAAAUCAUAAAAAGAAAAGAAAAAUAAGUUGUAGCCAGUGUAAUUUCAGGGGCAAAUUACAAUUUAUCUUAAUAAUAAUAAUGGAGUAGCCCAUGGAUUGACCUUGUUAAUGAAAAAAAUUAUGAUAUGGUAAACGUUAAGGAGCGCUACUAGAAAUUAAACCAUACCCAACACAACAAAUCAAUGUGACUGGACAAACACCUGCACCUUGUCAUGUUUACAACCAUAUUAGUCUUUUCCUCUUCCCCUUGUAUCCAACAAUGCCCGAAAGGAAUUGCAGUGCUUGAAAGAAUCCAAGCAGCAUUAAAGAGGAUGGUAUAGAAUAUUUUUUCUAAUUUCUUGAUUUCUAUCAAAAUCAUUGGCCUUGUAAUGAAACAGCCAAACCAAUUACGAUAAUUAAAGGCAAUAUCUUUUCUCAUAAUUUGCAGUACCAAUUAUCAUUAUUCGACAACGAAAUGGCAUUGAAAUGACUUACCAUUUAUCUUCUAUUUGCAUAUGCCAAGCGCAGCUUUCAUCAAAUUUCUAUGUCAACAGAUGUCCUAAUUCAUUGAGUACUUUUACGCACCGCCACUAGCACUGCCGUUUUGCGUGAGCGGAGAUUGGCAGCAUCUCUGGUUCGCGCCUCCAUUUCGCGAUUGCUUUGUUCAGGGUUGUGAUGGUUCAAUCUUGCUGGAGGAUAUACAUCUUCAAUGACUGGCGAAAAAUUUGCACGCAGCAACAAUGAUUCGGUUAGAGGAUUCCAAGUUAUAGAUAAUGCAAAGCGCAAGUCGAAAGCAUAUGUCCUGGAAUUGUUUCUUGUGCUGAUAUUGAUGCAGUUGCAGCUAGGGAUGCAUCUAUUGCUGAGUACAUACAAUAGGGCAAGCAAGAUGCCUGACCUUCCGUGAUAGGAUUUACAACAAUGCAAGCGAUAUUGAUGCUGGCUUCGCAAUCACCCAAAGACGCCACUGUCCUGCUAACAAUGGCAACGAAGGUGGAAAUCCAGCAGGACUUGCUUUGGUUACACCUAAUUUUUUUGAUAUAACUACUUCAGGAAUCUUAUUCAGAAAAGGGUCUUCUUCAAUCAGUUCAACUUCUGAGGGGUGGAUCUACAGCACAUUGUUAAUGAACAUAGCAGGGGCCCUUCAAGUUUCAGUUCUGAUUUCGCUUCUACAAUGGAAAAGAUGGGAGAUAUAGAGCCCCUAACUGGUUUUCAAGCAAAAUGGGAAAGCUCUGCAAUGUUGCGAACUGAUUUGUUGAUUGAAUUCUAGUUUUGAUAGUAUCAUUAAUGAUAUAUUCUGAAAUACUUUGGGGAAUACUAUGUAUUGAUUCUUGAUUGAGCUCCCUAUAUACUCUUUACGGAUGGCCUCAAGAGUUUUAAUGCAGAUGGAUACU